GAUGAAGAACGUAGCGAAAUGCGAUACGUAAUGUGAAUUGCAAAUUCAGUGAAUCAUCGAGUCUUUGAACGCACAUUGCGCCCCCUGGUAUUCCGGGGGGCAUGCCUGUCCGAGCGUCAUUGCUGCCCUCAAGCACGGCUUGUGUGUUGGGCCCCGUCCUCCGAUCCCGGGGGACGGGCCCGAAAGGCAGCGGCGGCACCGCGUCCGGUCCUCGAGCGUAUGGGGCUUUGUCACCCGCUCUGUAGGCCCGGCCGGCGCUUGCCGAUCAACCCAAAUUUUUAUCCAGGUUGACCUCGGAUCAGGUAGGGUUACCCGCUGAACUUAAGCAUAUCAAUAAGCGGAGGA
rnacentral:misc_RNA from 1 species